UACAGAGGUCUCAAGCGUUGUUCGGAUUCAUUGGGCGUAAAGGGUGCGUAGGUGGCGCCGGUAAGUCGGGUGUGAAAUUCGACGGCUUAACUCCGAAACUGCAUUCGAUACUGCCGUGCUUGAGGACUGGAGAGGAGACUGGAAUUUACGGUGUAGCGGUGAAAUGCGUAGAUAUCGUAAGGAAGACCAGUGGCGAAGGCGGGUCUCUGGACAGUUCCUGACGCUGAGGCACGAAGGUCAGGGGAGCAAACGGG
rnacentral:rRNA from 1 species